rnacentral:lncRNA from 1 species
CCAAUUAAAGGACCACAUACUUUUGUCUCGAAGCCAAAUAAAGUUGCGAAUAUUUAGAGCAACAAGUAGGAAAAGAACACAACGAAUGAAUGUCAAUAAUCUUCAAACACCCAAAAGAAUAGUGCAGCAGGUUAAGUAAUACAAAACCCAGCUCAUUCAGUUAAAAACAAACUCAAAAUCUAUCCAAAACCCAGCUCAUUCAGUCAAAAACAAACCCAAAAUCUGUCCAAGGUGCACUGUUUUUAAAAAUUAAACAUUUCCCAAGAAUUAAGUUCUCCCUCUGAGUACAUGCAGUUAGGAAACAAGGCCAUCGUUCAGGGACAAAGCGGCCAAUUGAUCAGCCGGGGUACCAGUCUGUUGCUGUUGCGAAACAUUCCUCAGGACCUCCAUAGCCUCUGCAACCUUGGCUUUCAG